UACGGAGGGUGCGAGCGUUGCUCGGAAUCACUGGGCGUAAAGCGUACGCAGGCCGUUUUUGUAAGUCGGGUGUGAAAGCCCGGGGCUCAACCCCGGAACUGCGCCCCGAGACUGCAGGACUUGAAUGCGGGAGAGGAAAGCGGAAUUCCUGGUGUAGAGGUGAAAUUCGUAGAUAUCAGGAGGAACACCUGUGGCGAAAGCGGCUUCUGGCCCGACAUUGACGCUCAUGUACGAAAGCGCGGGGAGCAAACAGG
rnacentral:rRNA from 1 species